rnacentral:lncRNA from 1 species
CCGGAACUGGAGUUACAGAUGGGAAUAAAUCACCCUGUGGGUGCUGGCCACCGAACCUGAGUCUUCUGCAAAAGCAACAGGUGCUCUUAACUAGUGAGCCAUCACUCCAGCCUGUCACGUUUUAAAAAGCUGUUCAAAGGGGUCUUCUCUCAUGUCUGUGGCCCUUUCUUUGAGCCACAGUGAGAGCACCACUUCCUGUGUGCAGAUUCCGGUUAUUUAAGGAGCCAGAGAUGGAAGCCGAUGACUCAGCCCCUCCACGGGGAGGGAUUUCCUUAAAAGACCUCUCAGUUUGUGGGAGCGUGGACCAGUGUGACUGUUCACAACUUGCUCCUCACGCCUGGAGCUGCCCGCUCAGACACCAGACCACGUGGCAAACAGCUCGCUGGGUCUAAAAAUACUGUGCCUGCCCAUCACAGCAGCUUCUGUUCACGGAAUGGACAGAAGCCACAGCUUGUCUUCGUCUGCUGGAGGGCUCUCUGAGCAUCUGGGAGCAGUGGCACUACACCUGGCUGCACAGCCUCUGGACACGCUGCUGAGCCUGACCCUGUCCAAGUCUGUCCCCUCAGCUUGUUACCCACAGCCAGCGGACCCACCCGGUGUGAUGUUUCUGUCAUAGCUGUCAGAUGGGCUCUUUGGUCCUUUGGGAGCUGUGGACCUUGCAGAGACAAUGAGUUUUUCUAGCCUGUGCUUUCUGUCCCUGGCCUGUAAGGACUCUGCACACUGCUGGGUGGAUCAUCUUCUGCAUUUGGGAAAGACAUUCUUGUGGGUGGUCCAGAGUGGGCCCGAGAAUAUUGGGAUCAGAGAGCAAAUUCCCCUGCACAGCCUUCACAGCUGAUGAUCACCACAGAUCUGGCCCCAUCGUGCUCCCCUCAGGCUGGCUGGUUACAGGCUGGCCAGUGAUGCCAGAUAAAUAGAUGGACUCCAGGACAAAAUGUCCAAAUGACCUUCCUUUCUGAUUUGAGGCCAGUGCAGAAGGAGAAGCCACUAGGCAUGAUGUUCAGGGCCUAGAGAACCUCGUGGCCUGUUAUGUCUCUGCCAGGGCAGCCUUUGCCUCCAGGAGAGAGCCCAAUUCAGGAGCAGGAGGUAGGGC